rnacentral:other from 1 species
UGUUCCCUGGGGUGUUCGCCAACUGGUCCAGUCCCCUGAGCCGAUAUCAUUACGCUGGGAAGUUCGCGCGAUGAUUGUGUGCAUGUCCGCCCGUCGGAAAGCCUGAUAUCGUUGCCGUGCUUCCCCCUUGAACCAUUGGGUUCAAGGGUUACGACUGGUAGCGGCAUCCCGGAGAACAU